CCUACGGGCGGCUGCAGUCGAGAAUAUUCCGCAAUGGACGCAAGUCUGACGGAGCGACGCCGCGUGUGGGAUGAAGGCCUUAGGGUUGUAAACCACUGUCACACUUUAAGAAAUCAUCUAGGGUAACUCCUAGGUGUUGACAAAGGAGUGGAAGGAAGUCACGGCUAACUACGUGCCAGCAGCCGCGGUAAUACGUAGGUGGCAAACGUUGUUCGGAAUUACUGGGCAUAAAGAGUUUGUAGGCGGCUUAAUAAGUCAGGUGUGAAAUCCCGGGGCUCAACUUCGGAACGGCAUUUGAUACUGUUAGGCUAGAAUAAUGGAGAGGUGAGUAGAAUUCAUGGUGUAGCGGUGAAAUGCGUUGAUAUCAUGGAGAAUACCAAUGGCGAAGGCAGCUCACUGGCCAAUUAUUGACGCUGAGAAACGAAAGCUAGGGUAGCGAACGGGAUUAGAUACCCCUGUAGUC
rnacentral:rRNA from 1 species